UAGGGAAUCUUCGGCAAUGGACGAAAGUCUGACCGAGCAACGCCGCGUGAGUGAAGAAGGUUUUCGGAUCGUAAAACUCUGUUGUUAGAGAAGAACAAGGACGUUAGUAACUGAACGUCCCCUGACGGUAUCUAACCAGAAAGCCACGGCUAACUACGUGCCAGCAGCCGCGGUAAUACGUAGGUGGCAAGCGUUGUCCGGAUUUAUUGGGCGUAAAGCGAGCGCAGGCGGUUUCUUAAGUCUGAUGUGAAAGCCCCCGGCUCAACCGGGGAGGGUCAUUGGAAACUGGCAGGCUAGAGUCUUGUAGAGGGGGGUAGAAUUCCAGGUGUAGCGGUGAAAUGCGUAGAGAUCUGGAGGAAUACCGGUGGCGAAGGCGGCCCCCUGGACGAAGACUGACGCUCAGGUGCGAAAGCGUGGGGAGCAAACAGG
rnacentral:rRNA from 1 species